AAACAUGUCUUUUUGAAUUUUAUUUAAAGUCUAACCUGCCCACUGAAUUAUAUUUUAAAUGGCCGCAGUAUUUUGACUGUGCAAAGGUAGCAUAAUCAUUAGUCUUUUAAUUGAAGGCUGGUAUGAAUGGUUGGACGAGGUAUAAGCUGUUUCAUAUAAAUUUAUUAUAAAAUUUUAUAUUUUAGUUAAAAAGCUAAAAUUUUAUUAAAAGACGAGAAGACCCUAUAAAUCUUUAUAGUUAAUUUUGUUUAAAUUUUUUGGAUUUGUUAAAUUUUUAUAAUAUUAAGUAUUUUGUUGGGGUGAUGUUAAAAUUUAAUAAACUUUUAAUUUUUAAAAUCAUUAAUUUAUGAUUUAUUGAUCCAUUAAUAUUGAUUAUAAGAUUAAGUUACUUUAGGGAUAACAGCGUAAUUUUUUUUGAGAGUUCUUAUCGACAAAAAAGUUUGCGACCUCGAUGUUGGAUUAAGGUAUAAUUUUGGGUGUAGCUGUUCAAAUAUUAAGUCUGUUCGACUUUUGAAUCCUUACAUGAUC
rnacentral:rRNA from 1 species